rnacentral:rRNA from 1 species
CAGCCGCCGCGGGAAUACAGAGGGUGCGAGCGUUAAUCGGAUUUACUGGGCGUAAAGCGUGCGUAGGCGGCUUUUUAAGUCGGAUGUGAAAUCCCUGAGCUUAACUUAGGAAUUGCAUUCGAUACUGGGAAGCUAGAGUAUGGGAGAGGAUGGUAGAAUUCCAGGUGUAGCGGUGAAAUGCGUAGAGAUCUGGAGGAAUACCGAUGGCGAAGGCGGCCCCCUGGACAAAGACUGACGCUCAGGUGCGAAAGCGUGGGGAGCAAACAGGAUUAGAUACCCCCGUAGUCCCUGUCUCUUAUAC